UACCAGCUCUCCGAGUGGUAGGGAUAGAUUAUUGGGCUUAAAGCGUCCGUAGCCGACUUAGACAAGUUUCCUGUUAAACCCAGCGUACUCAAUCGUUGGAUCGCGGGAAAUACUACUAGGCUAGGAGGCGGGAGAGGUCAACGGUACUUCUGGGGGUAGGGGUGAAAUCCUAUAAUCCCCGGGAGGACCACCAGUGGCGAAGGCUGUUGACUAGAACGCGCUCGACGGUGAGGGACGAAAGCUGGGGGUAGCAAACCGGGAUUAGAUACCCGGGUAGUCCCAGCUGUAAACGAUAGCGAGCUAGGUGUUGGGAUGGCUACGGGCCAUUUCAGUGCCGCAGGGAAGCCAUUAAGCUCGCCGCCUGGGGAGUACGGCCGCAAGGCUGAAACUUAAGGAAUUGGCGGGGGAGCGACCACAAGGCGAGAAGCUUGCGGUUC
rnacentral:rRNA from 1 species